UCAGUGCGAAGCAUUGGAGUUCGUCCCUUCGGCGAUGAUAUAGAGAAGAUUAGCAUGGCCCCUACGCAGGGAUGACACACACAAAUCGAGAAAUGGUCCAAUUUUUU